rnacentral:rRNA from 1 species
GAUGAACGCUAGCGGCAGGCCUAAUACAUGCAAGUCGAACGAUACCAGAGAGCUUGCUUUCUGGGAAAGUGGCGCACGGGUGCGUAACGCGUAUGCAACCUACCUUAAUCAGGGGGAUAGCCUCUAGACAGAGAGAUUAACACCGCAUAAAAUCACACUUCGGCAUCGAAGAAUGAUCAAAUAUUUAUAGGAUUCAGAUGGGCAUGCGUGACAUUAGCUAGUUGGUGAGGUAACGGCUCACCAAGGCUACGAUGUCUAGGGGAUCUGAGACGAUGACCCCCCACACUGGGACUGAGACACGGACCAGACUCCUACGGGAGGCAGCAGUAAGGAAUAUUGGUCAAUGAAGGCAACUCUGAACCAGCCAUGCCGCGUGCAGGAAGACGGCCCUAUGGGUUGUAAACUGCUUUUAUACGGGAAUAAACCGCUCUACGUGUAGAGAGUUGAAUGUACUGUAAGAAUAAGGAUCGGCUAACUCCGUGCCAGCCGCCGCCGUAAAAC